UUUUCCUACGGGAGGCAGCAGUGGGGAAUCUUAGACAAUGGGCGCAAGCCUGAUCUAGCCAUGCCGCGUGAGUGAUGAAGGCCUUAGGAUCGUAAAGCUCUUUCGCCAGGGAUGAUAAUGACAGUACCUGGUAAAGAAACCCCGGCUAACUCCGUCCCAGCAGCCGCGGUAAUACGGAGGGGGUUAGCGUUGUUCGGAAUUACUGGGCGUAAAGCGUACGUAGGCGGAUCAGAAAGUAUGGGGUGAAAUCCCAGGGCUCAACCUUGGAACUGCCUCAUAAACUCCUGGUCUUGAGUUCGAGAGAGGUGAGUGGAAUUCCAAGUGUAGAGGUGAAAUUUGUAGAUAUUUGGAGGAACACCAGUGGCGAAGGCGGCUCACUGGCUCGAUACUGACGCUGAGGUGCGAAAGUGGGGGGAGCAAACAGGAUUAGAUACCCUGGUAGUCCACUCCGUUCCUAUGAAUGCCAGUCGUCGGGCAGUAUACUGUUCGGUGACACACCUAACGGAUUAAGCA
rnacentral:rRNA from 1 species